rnacentral:tRNA from 1 species
GGAGGGGUGGCCGAGAGGCUGAAGGCGGCGGUUUGCUAAACCGUUAUACGAUGAAAGUCGUAUCGUGGGUUCGAAUCCCAUCCCCUCCGCCA